AUUGACAACAUUAUCCCUUGCACUCGUUUCUUUUCCGAUUUUUUUCCCCUCCCUCCCUCCACCCCCUCCCCUAGAUGGCAAGCAGUCCUUUAUAUGUUGGAUAUGUUGCAGUAUAUCCUAGAUACAAUAUAUGUUUGCAGAACCGAACAGUUCUCUUGUUGCAUAGGGAGAAUUGGAUUCAGAAGGUAUAAAUAACCCGGGAAGAAAAACAAAAAUGCAGAUAGUUCACAUUCGUUUCCCAGUGUUCUUUCUUUGGGUAUAGCUGCUUUUGUCCGUCAUUUAUCAAUUGAAACUCAGUUAGGUCUCUUUGUCAAAGAAAUCCCCUUCCAUCAAAA